CCCUUAGACGUUCUGGGCCGCACGCGCGCUACACUGACCAGUGCAACAAGCAUCCGUCCUUGGCCGACAGGCUCGGGCAAUCUUUGAACGCUGGUCGUGAUGGGGAUAGACUUUUGCAAUUUUUGGUCUUCAACGAGGAAUUCCUAGUAAACGCAAGUCAUCAACUUGCAUUGAUUACGUCCCUGCCCUUUGUACACACCGCCCGUCGCACCUACCGAUUGAAUGGUCCGGUGAAGCCUCCGGAUUGGCGCGCACCUCGGUGCCGCCGAGAAGUUGGGUAAACCUUACCAUUUAGAGGAAGGUGAAGUCGUAACA
rnacentral:rRNA from 1 species